GGAGAGGUGUCAGAGUGGUCGAUCGUGCCUGACUCGAAAUCAGGUGUACCGCAAGGUACCGGGGGUUCGAAUCCCCCCCUCUCCGCCA
rnacentral:tRNA from 1 species